rnacentral:rRNA from 1 species
UACGAAGGGGGCUAGCGUUGCUCGGAAUCACUGGGCGUAAAGCGCACGUAGGCGGAUCUUUAAGUCAGGGGUGAAAUCCUGGAGCUCAACUCCAGAACUGCCUUUGAUACUGGGAGUCUUGAGUUCGGGAGAGGUGAGUGGAACUGCGAGUGUAGAGGUGAAAUUCGUAGAUAUUCGCAAGAACACCAGUGGCGAAGGCGGCUCACUGGCCCGAUACUGACGCUGAGGUGCGAAAGCGUGGGGAGCAAACAGG